AUGCUUGCUUCAGCAGCCCAUAUACUAAAAUUGGAACUACACAAAGUUAGUUAGUAAAGUUAGUAUGAGCCCUGCACAAGGAUGACACAUAAAUUCAUGAACUGUUCCAUAUUUUC
ensembl:snRNA U6 U6 spliceosomal RNA